AUCCUUUUGUAGUUCAUGAGCGUGAUGAUUGAGUAUUCAUGUGCAUGUGUGAGAUGUGCCACUCUCUGAACCUUGUUACAACCUUGGCACAUUACCUGUCUGACC
ensembl:snoRNA